rnacentral:rRNA from 1 species
UACGUAGGGUGCGAGCGUUAAUCGGAUUUACUGGGCGUAAAGCGUGCGCAGGCGGUGAUGUAAGACCGAUGUGAAAUCCCCGGGCUUAACCUGGGAACUGCAUUGGUGACUGCAUCGCUCGAGUAUGGCAGAGGGGGGUAGAAUUCCACGUGUAGCAGUGAAAUGCGUAGAGAUGUGGAGGAAUACCGAUGGCGAAGGCAGCCCCCUGGGUCAAUACUGACGCUCACGCACGAAAGCGUGGGGAGCAAACAGG